GCUUAUGGCCAUACCACCCUGAACACGCCCGAUCUCGUCUGAUCUCGGAAGCUAAGCAGGGUCGGGCCUGGUCAGUACUUGGAUGGGAGACCGCCUGGGAAUACCAGGUGCUGUAAGCUUUU
rnacentral:rRNA from 1 species